CAAUUUCCAGUGAUUUCCUUGGGCUCUAUUUCCUUUCUGCUUAUACUCCAGUCUCUACCUCUUUUUCUGUCCAACCAUCUCUGUUCCUCAUUCCUGUCCCAUCCUCACUUCCCUAUUUCUUGUCCCACUAAACACCCCUAUCUUGGUUCCUGCUCUUUGCAGACAUGGCACUGGGGGACCAACCUUGCUCACAGCAUCUGCUUGAAUACCUCUAGUGAUGGACAACUCAUUACCUUUCAGGAUGUUCAUUUCUAUUGGGCAUAGAAGCCUCACACACACAUAGAAUCUUUAUAUAAGAGAUUUUCUGAAGUCCCAUCUAUAUGUGAUGCCUUCUUCUCAAGCUCCCAUUUUACAGAUGAGGAAGCUGAGGCCGAGGGACCAGGCAGAAAGAUGGGAGAUGAGGCACCCCAACCGCUCCCGCCCCAUCUAUGCCCUGGCACUCACACAGACUAGCUUUCCUUCCUUUAUGUCUGCCCAUCUCGUCUUGAAACUCUAGGAGUAUGUGUGGAAGUGGGUGAGGAAUGAGAGCAUGUGAGAAUGUGGGGUGUGGCCCAUUAAAAUCACCUCCGUUCUGGCACCCUCUUUUCUGCACUUACUCCUUCCCCUCCAUGUACUAAGAUAUGAAACAGCUCACACCAUUCCCUGCCUCUAACUUUCAAUGGCUCCCAAUUGCUCUUGGAAAAAAUUCCAAAGGCCUUUGCUUGGCAAAGAACGGUCCAUAUGACCUGGUUUUGGCUCUUUUUUCGGCUCCAUCAUAGAUCCCUUUGUUCUUGCUCCAACCUCAAGGCCUCUUUUCAUGUCUUCAGAUACAGCAUCCUCAUGGAGCAUCCUCAUGGUCAUCUUUGGGACUCCCCAGUGCUCAUCCUUCUGCCUGGGCAUCACGUGCUCAACCUCUCAUCAUUCAGGUCUUGAUCUGAAGCGCACCUCUUCCCAGAAGCCUCCCCUGCAUCCCCUAGCUGGGUCAGUUCCCACCCCCAUACGUGACUCUUCCUCAUUGCCUGUUCAUUCCAGCAUCACACAUAACACCAGUGGCACUAAUAGAUUUAUUCUUCUGCCUCUUUGAUGAAUGUCUCCU
rnacentral:lncRNA from 1 species